rnacentral:rRNA from 1 species
AGUUCGGAUUGCAGGCUGCAACUCGGCUGCAUGAAGCUGGAAUCGCUAGUAAUCGCGGAUCAGAACGCCGCGGUGAAUGCGUUCCCGGGUCUUGUACACACCGCCCGUCACACCAUGGGAGCCGGAAACGCCCGAAGCCAGCGGCCUAACCGCAAGGAGGGAGCUGUCGAAGGCGGGCCGGUGACCGGGUGAAGUCGUAACAAGGUAGC